GGGGAUGUAAAGGUUUCGACGGGGAUUGUAAGUCAUUGUAAGCGAGUAGCGGUGCGGAACCGCUAUAAAAUCCGCAAACUUUAAAAUUAAUUGACAACAAUAAUACUGUUGCACUAGCAGCGUAAUGCUGCUCGUCCUAUCCGAAAGUACCGCGGUUCGGUGUGGGCGUCAUUUAGCGGUGAACGUGAAUAAAAGCGUGCUUUGUCUUUUAUCAUGAACUAGAAGCUACCGUAACCACAAGCCUGUUGAUAGGCGUGUGGCGAGGGGAAUCCUAAAAUAUCAACUACACUCGUAGAAAGCCUUGGUAAACGAUUUUCGGACAGGAGUUCGACUCUCCUCAUCUCCACCA
rnacentral:tmRNA from 1 species